rnacentral:rRNA from 1 species
UUGAAUAAAAUUCUAAAUAGAAUAAUGAUAAUGACAAUUUUCUAUUUAUGUGUCUUGACCAAAUCACGUGCCAGCAGUCGCGGUAAGACGUGGAAGACUAGUGUUAUUCAUCUUUAAUAGGUUUAAAGGGUACCUAGACGGUAUUUUUAGCUCAAUAAGAGUACGAAACUACUAGAGUUUUAUGUGAGAAGGGGAGAACUUUUGGAGUAGAGAUGCAAUUCUUUGAUACCAUAAGGACUGGCAAAGGCGAAGGCGACCUUCUAUGUAAAAACUGACGUUGAGGGACGAAGGCUUGGGUAGCGAGAAGGAUUAGAUACCCUAGUAGUCCAAGCAGAAAAUUAUGAAUGUCAUAUAUAAAUGAAAGUGUAAGCAUUCCACCUCGAGAGUAAUGUGGCAACGCAGAAACCGAAAUCAUUAGACCGUUUCUGAAACCAGUAGUGAAGUAUGUUAUUUAAUUCGAUGAUCCCCGAAAAACCUUACCACGCAAGUGUUGCACGGCUGUCUUCAGUUAAUGUCGUGAGAUUUUGGUUAGUUCCAUAAAAUUAACGUAAACCC